rnacentral:rRNA from 1 species
GACAAACGCUGGCGGCGUGCUUAACACAUGCGAGUCGAACGGAAAGGCCCUGCUUUUGUGGGGUGCUCGAGUGGCGAACGGGUGAGUAACACGUGAGUAACCUGCCCUUGACUUUGGGAUAACUUCAGGAAACUGGGGCUAAUACCGGAUAGGAGCUCCUGCUGCAUGGUGGGGGUUGGAAAGUUUCGGCGGUUGGGGAUGGACUCGCGGCUUAUCAGCUUGUUGGUGGGGUAGUGGCUUACCAAGGCUUUGACGGGUAGCCGGCCUGAGAGGGUGACCGGCCACAUUGGGACUGAGAUACGGCCCAGACUCCUACGGGAGGCAGCAGUGGGGAAUAUUGCACAAUGGGCGGAAGCCUGAUGCAGCAACGCCGCGUGCGGGAUGACGGCCUUCGGGUUGUAAACCGCUUUCGCCUGUGACGAAGCGUGAGUGACGGUAAUGGGUAAAGAAGCACCGGCUAACUACGUG